CGCUAGCUACAGGCUUAACACAUGCAAGUCGAGGGGCAGCAUCAUCAAAGCUUGCUUUGAUGGAUGGCGACCGGCGCACGGGUGAGUAACACGUAUCCAACCUGCCGACAACACUGGGAUAGCCUUUCGAAAGAAAGAUUAAUACCGGAUGGCAUAGUUUUCCCGCAUGGGAUAAUUAUUAAAGAAUUUCGGUUGUCGAUGGGGAUGCGUUCCAUUAGGCAGUUGGCGGGGUAACGGCCCACCAAACCUACGAUGGAUAGGGGUUCUGAGAGGAAGGUCCCCCACAUUGGAACUGAGACACGGUCCAAACUCCUACGGGAGGCAGCAGUGAGGAAUAUUGGUCAAUGGACGAGAGUCUGAACCAGCCAAGUAGCGUGAAGGAUGACUACCCUAUGGGUUGUAAACUUCUUUUAUACGGGAAUAAAGUGAGCCACGUGUGGCUUUUUGUAUGUACCGUAUGAAUAAGGAUCGGCUAACUCCGUGCCAGCAGCCGCGGUAAUACGGAGGAUUCGAGCGUUAUCCGGAUUUAUUGGGUUUAAAGGGAGCGUAGGCGGGUUGUUAAGUCAGUUGUGAAAGUUUGCGGCUCAACCGUAAAAUUGCAGUUGAUACUGGCGACCUUGAGUGCAACAGAGGUAGGCGGAAUUCGUGGUGUAGCGGUGAAAUGCUUAGAUAUCACGAAGAACUCCGAUUGCGAAGGCAGCUUACUGGAUUGUAACUGACGCUGAUGCUCGAAAGUGUGGGUAUCAAACAGGAUUAGAUACCCUGGUAGUCCACACAGUAAACGAUGAAUACUCGCUGUUGGCGAUAUACAGUCAGCGGCCAAGCGAAAGCAUUAAGUAUUCCACCUGGGGAGUACGCCGGCAACGGUGAAACUCAAAGGAAUUGACGGGGGCCCGCACAAGCGGAGGAACAUGUGGUUUAAUUCGAUGAUACGCGAGGAACCUUACCCGGGCUUAAAUUGCAACUGACGGAACCGGAAACGGUUCUUUCUUCGGACAGUUGUGAAGGUGCUGCAUGGUUGUCGUCAGCUCGUGCCGUGAGGUGUCGGCUUAAGUGCCAUAACGAGCGCAACCCUUACGGGUAGUUACCAUCAGGUUAUGCUGGGGACUCUACCCGGACUGCCGUCGUAAGAUGUGAGGAAGGUGGGGAUGACGUCAAAUCAGCACGGCCCUUACGUCCGGGGCUACACACGUGUUACAAUGGGGGGUACAGAAGGCAGCUACACGGCGACGUGGUGCUAAUCCCAAAAGCCUCUCUCAGUUCGGAUUGGAGUCUGCAACCCGACUCCAUGAAGCUGGAUUCGCUAGUAAUCGCGCAUCAGCCACGGCGCGGUGAAUACGUUCCCGGGCCUUGUACACACCGCCCGUCAAGCCAUGAAAGCCGGGGGUACCAGAAGUACGUAACCGCGAGGAGCGUCCUAGGGUAAAACUGGUAAA
rnacentral:rRNA from 1 species